rnacentral:rRNA from 1 species
UACGUAGGUGGCGAGCGUUAUCCGGAUUCACUGGGUGUAAAGGGCGCGUAGGCGGGGAUGCAAGUCAGGUGUGAAAUCUAUGGGCUUAACUCAUAAACUGCACUUGAAACUGUAUUUCUUGAGUGCUGGAGAGGUAGACGGAAUUCCUUGCGUAGCGGUGAAAUGCGUAGAUAUAAGGAAGAACACCAGUGGCGAAGGCGGUCCACUGGACAGUAACUGACGCUGAGGCGCGAAAGCGUGGGGAGCAAAC